GUGUUUCACAGCUCCUGCCAACAGCUUUGCCUGAGAGAAUUUGUUCUUGUUUUCCACUGACUUCAUGGGCAAUUUCUUCUCAGUUUCCUUCUUUGGGUCCAUACCCGCUCCCACUUUAGUGAGAGAUAUUCUGUAUUCAUUGAGUUCUUUCAUCUCCUCUUCUCUUCGCUGCUUUUCUAGCAGCUCUUGCUGCCGAGAAACCUCGUCAAGGAAGUUUGUCUCGUCUUCAUCUAAGCCUCUUACCAUAUUUUCUGGAAAAAAGAAGAAUGCACAGAGAUGAGCUCAGGAUUUGGGGAGCAGCCGUGAGCUUCCAGCACCUCGCCCUUCUCUUCAGAUGA